ensembl:lncRNA
UUUUUUUUUUUUCCAUUUUAGAAAACCAUUAUGGAAUGACAAUUGGAAUCAGUAGUUUCUGAAAUGGUUUCAAAGAGGUUUACAACAGCCACUGUAUACAGUUAUAAUUCUUUUGGUAGAGAGGCACAAAAAGGACAAAAAUAAAAUUCAAGACAAUUCCAAACUCCUAACCUCUUCCUAAAAAUCAAGACUACAUUUCUGAUGACUCCUUAUUUAGUAGGUUGGGCUAGGAAUUUGCUUCUCAUGCUGUCAAAGUUGUGUGUUGUGAUAUGGAACAGGUCAUUCAAUCUAUAUCUGCUGCUCUCCUUCUCCCUUCCUUAGCUGUCUAAUUUAUACAGUGAAAUAUCAGGACAGACUACAACACUGCUGCCGACACAGCACAUUGAAAAAUGAGGCAUGAUCUUUUAAAUAUAGUAUUCAUUAUAACACUGGCACUGGAAACACUUUACUCUUUUACAAUGCAAAUAAGCAUAUCUUAGUUAUGGAGGUUACAUAUACAGAUGUCACAAAAGCACAUUUAAAGACAGGCAAAUAUAUGAAAAAACCCAGAAGAAUCUGAAUGAAGAUUAAAUUUCAUAGGGUAGAACUCUGAUCAUGAAGGACACUUUCUGCACAGUGCAUAAUGGAGGGCAGUGUAUUCAUUUCUAUUCCUCAAAUGUGUACAUUUUCAGUGUGUAUAGUUUCAGUAAUUAGAAAAGAAAUUUUGAUGUUAGAGUUUACAUAAAUAACAAAAAACAUCAAGAUGACUUUUUCUUGUGAUUUUUUUUUCUUUUUAUCUGCUUUAUAAUUUUUUAAUUUCCUUUAUAUAAUCCCAAGAUAUUAAAGUCCAAAUCACCUAGCUAUAUCACUGGCAAAAUAAGUCAUAUGUCAUGCUCAAUUUUAGAGUCAUUAGCUAUCUGUAGACACUGUCUUAUGCAGUGGAGUUAAAAAACCUAAAGAGAAAAAGACAGAAUAUAUCUGAGGGUAAAAAGCCUUUGUGGGUGUUGAUGGGAGUAUAUGGAAGAAACCAGCAAGAACAGUGGAUAAUGGAAGAUUGCUAGUGCAGGUAGUGGGCUUAUCUAUAUGACAAAUUGAUGAAGAAUGAGGAGGAAAACUAUGUUGAUUUAAUGCUGGCAAUUUGAAGCAUAGGCUGCACAGCUGUUUCAGACAGAAAUACUAAGAUAAAUUCAGAAGCAACCCCUGCUCUGACAGAUUAAUAAAAGACCAGAAAUUAUUUGAGCUUCUUAGAGGAAGGGAUCACUAAAGAGCCCUUCAAAUACCCAAGAUAUUGCACAUAAGAAUAGAACAGCUCAUCCAGCUCUUGCCUGUCUGUUAUCAAGAACAUGCUUUAAACUAAGAGUCAAGCUUUUCUAGCAGACAUGAAAAAAUACAUACUACAAGUGAAAAAGUAAAGAACAAAGUGAACACUUGCUACUGAUACAAUUUUAGGAAAAAAAGUCACUGGUAGAACCUUCAAACAGGCUACCUAAAAAAAGGCUUACCUAACAUAAAUUUUUAAAAAAGCUGUACUGGGUCUUCUGUUUCAACUUGUUUUUUAAAAUCAUUACUAGCAAUAGGUAUAUUUAUCCAGGUGAAGUAAAUAUACAGACUUUUUGCACUUCAAAAGUCAGACAAACCAACUCUAUGUAAACAUUUUCACCAGUGCUUUAAAUACACCUGUGGGCACUGAGCCCUUCAUUCUCUGGUCAAAUACAAAAGGGCUCCUUCCCCUGGGUCUGCCAGGAGUGUAUUAUGUGUCCUACAUGCUCACUGCUGGCAAUGUAAGUCUACACAGCCAUUUCAAACAUGUUUUAGCACAUUUUACUAAACAGCCAGUCACGCUGAAUUUCUGAAAGUUUGAUUUACUGGCAUUAUUGUCCAGUUCCAGGCAACCUGGCAUUAUCAGAAAGCUUAUACUGCAUCAGCAGCUUUCUACUGCUCUGAUCUAGAACCCUUUGGAAAAACUAUAUGGAUUAAUUCACAAACCAAAGGAUCAGAACUGAGCUCUAUGUUAGUAGAGAAGGUUCCUAUGAAAGAAUACUUCAGAAGUGUUAAGACUGCAAGGUAGCAUUUUAAAAAAGUAAAAAAAAAAAAAAGACCCAAAACCAAAAGUAAGUAGCUUUGGUAUCCCUCCCCUGCUCCCUCAAAAGAAUGAAAUACUUCAGUGUGAUGGCUCUCUAAUGAAUUAUUCACAAAAUGUAGGGCUUUCUUUUCCAGAGGUUACAGCAACGUCAAGUGAAAACAUGUCAGUCUGCCAAGAAACACCAAUGGUGUGGAAUAUUUCAAUGGAAGAUGACACAAUCACCCCACUAAUGAUGGAAGCUCUUUUGGUGAUGUAGGAAUUACAUUCCUACAAAUGAUGCCAGGCAUUACCAAUAAUUUUAUAUCAAAUUUUUGGAAAAUUUAAAGAUUAACAAACUCCUCUGAGCAAAUUCUAAAGCCAGGUUGUAUUUUUAAUUUAUCAGCAUUGCCUACGCUUAUUAUUUAUCACACAGUCCUCUUCCAGCACUCUCUAUAGAGAAUUAGCACGCUAAGCAGUAAUUCUAAUACUAAAAUUACCUAUGCUGUAAAAAUGCCCACCACCACAUCAUCUCAGUUCUGGAAAGAACUUCUCAAACUUCACUUCAACAGACAGUCCUAAACUGUGGGGAACGACAUGAGUCACAAAAUGUCACUUUCUCUCUGAUAUUUGGGUUAAGCCUAUUUUUCUUACAGUGCCUGUAGAUAUGGUAGAGGAAAAUGUGGUAUUUAGGAUGCUUUUUGUCAAGUUGUUGGUUCCGAUGGUCAAGAAGAAAAUUCAUUUGUCAGGAAACCUAUUGGUAAAAGAUCUGUGGGUUUUUUUACCUCUUAAAUACAAUUUAGAAAUAAAUUUAAUUUUUCUCAACAGAUUGCAAUUCACAACUUAAUUUAUGCCUAGUGCUAGUAAGGGGUCUAAAGCACUUACCUUACAGGACAAAAUUCAAAAUUCAUUCAGUGGAUUUGAUUCUUACGGGAAAGCCUUUGUAGACUCAAGAGUGUUCUUCACAAUCUCUCUCAUCCCCAAGAAGAAAGUUAAGAAAAUUUUACAGAGUUCACUUCACUUGAAAGUCAGUGGGAGGGGAGUCUCACAAAAUCACUGUGGGGAGGGGAAUCUCCACAAUCACUGUUCUGCACCUAUAUUAAGCUUUGGUGCAUUCUGUGAGACAAUUUUAGCCUAUAACUGAAAUCCAUCUUUGUGCAAAUCUUGAUCUGCCCAGUAUGCAUGAAAAUUAGUUACAGGCAAUGAAUUAAGAAUAAUUUCUAGAGUAAACCAUGCUCAGACACUUAAAAAAAAAUAAGUCUAAUACUACUUAAAGAUCCAAAUCGCACAGAAGUGUUGCAGCCCAAAGCUGGGGUAAACUGGUCCCUAAGAACACGUGGUGUCUGAGGAGCUGUGUGUGUGUGCACUGCCUGCAGUGCUGCACGCCCGCUGCCCUGUGACAGCCCCGUUCAUAGCCAAAGCUGGAAUCAGUCAGGCAUUCAUUUGCAGGUACAGCAAGGAUUUCCUUUAAAAGUAGUUACCAGGCCUCAAGGUGGGACUAAUACACCUAUAUCCAGCUGGGUCAUUAUUCCUUCUCUCUAAUCACUGUGUAUUUGCUGUCAUAUGGUCAGAUAUGAGACUUCAUAAACCAGUACCAUUCUGGCCAAGGAACUGUUGGUCGCCACCCUUCACUCCACCAAAAUGCUUGGAUCUCAUUUGCAACGGUUUUUAUUAAGCUUGUGGACUUUUUCCUACUAUGCAACCUCCAUUUCUCACCACAAUCAGCACCAAUGCCUCUGAUGAAGACAGAAUAAAAUAUUUCAUUUUUUUUAGGUCAAUACAUUUAAUCCCUGAACAGUGACUACAUGAAACAAACUCAGUAGUUUGUUUCUGAAACUGCUCACUUAAGGCUGAGUAAUUUUAUCAUGUUUAAUAUCCAGUGCAAGGUCUAGCUCUGCUUGACUUUAAUUCACCUCACUCCUAUCCUUCUCUAACUCUUUUGCAUACAUUUCUAUGCCUGUCAGUCCUUUCUGCAAUCUUUUUACAUUCUGCUAAUGUACUUUUAAUUAUGUGGCUAUUGAUCCAGUUAUAUUAUUUCUACAAUGCUUCUUUCUUUGUUCCAGGUAUUAAUGCCAGAGAGUCUUAAAGCUUUUGAAAAAGGAAGUUCCAGACCUUUUCUAUAUUUAAGUUUCAGGGCUUCUUUGGUAGAUUGAUUCACAUCUGUAGAGUAUUGAGCUUUGAAAUCCUCUGUUACAUACAGAUUUCUUUUCCUCUUGUCCUUUAAUUUUAUGUGAAUCACACAUCAUACAUCCCUCAAUCAGCACAUCUAGAAUAUCUUCAUUACUUAAAUGAAACCUUAUUGAUGAAGUGAAAAAACUGUCAGCUAUUAUCAGCAGAAAUAACCAGUGCUAUCAGCAUUUGUUCUCCAAGUUAUUCUGAAGAAGUUAAAUACUUCCAUAUGCAGGGCUGCCCACCCAUCUGGUCACAACUCCUAGUAGUACUUAAAAUCUUUAACCACGCACAGAAUGUUAAAACAUAAAAUGCUUUAAAAAGAUCCCUUUUAGUAUGCAAAUUCAACCCUAGAGACUCACAAAACUAAUGGAAUUUUUCUAUCAUUCUCUGAUUUUGAGGUGUUUUUGAUUCAAAAAACAUAGCUACACUAAAGCUAUUGAUUUCUUUAAUCUGCUUCAUAAAUUAAUGUGCAAUUCUACCUUUUGUGAUUACCACAUCAGAUUUCUCACCUGUUUUUCCACUACACACUUGUAAUCCAUCUAACAUAGAAUCAUUAAGGUUGGAAAAAACUUCUAAGAUCAAGUCCAACCUUUGACCUAAUGCACCACGCCCACUAAAGCCGAUCUCAGUGCCACAUCCCUUCACUUUUUGAAUUGUGUUUCUGCUAAUUGUCAGCUCCAUCAUCAUUGGAAAACACUUGAACUGACUUUUUCUUUUAACAGGAGGUGGGUUGGGCAGUCCAAAAAUCUGUCAUACCCCGUUUCUUGGCUUCAGACUCAUUUGUCCAUCAUGCCAACCUCAGCCCCCAGAGGCAGCUUACUGAAGCUAUUUCCUAUUUUCAGCUUCUUCAGUAUGCAGCAGUACAUACCAUUAUCUACCUUUUGAUCAACUACCACAUAAUUUGUAUCCAUUCCACUCUGCAUUGUGGUUACCUAAAAAUUGACGAAUUCAUUUUUUAAAUAGACAUAAUGUUGUUUAAAAAACAUUUGCAUUUUCGGCCAUACUUUUACUGGAUACUCAUUCCUUCAGCUUCCAUGCUGAUCUGCAUGUUACUACAUUACCUGGCUUUUUUGUACUAAAAAUUAUGAGCAAAAAAUGAUUAAAUAAUUAGAUUAUACUUUUAAAUAAAUUGCAUAAACAGGGGAUUGUGGAAACCUUUUUUCAUCUGGGUUUAAGUUCAUAACUUCCAUGUUUGCUUUUAUUGUUUCCUUUCUCCUCCUUUCCUUACUGCUAUCAGGCAUGUUUCUGGGUUCCAGUGUGCAUGUAAAGUUAAAGCAUCCUAAAACCAGUAGCAUAUUUUCAUGGAAGCCUUCAGCUAAUUUCUUGUCUUGUGAAUAAUCUGAAUCAGUUCUACUAAAGCACAGGAAUUAGGAAUCUUCUUGGGGGAUGCUCCUAAAGCCCUCAAAAGGCACACAGAUAUCAAAGGAGAUUUGUUCCUAUCUACUCAACGACUCUUUUAGAGGGAAUAGCUGGAGGCAAGAAUGGCUGCAGCACUACAUCCAAAACACUUCUGUAUUGCCUUAUCAGCACAGGGCUUCAAACAGAAUCCAUACAACUUACAGGAAAUUAUACAAAAUAUUUUUG